AGUGAACGCUGGCGGUAGGCCUAACACAUGCAAGUCGAACGGCAGCACAGUAAGAGCUUGCUCUUACGGGUGGCGAGUGGCGGACGGGUGAGGUAUACAUCGGAAUCUACUUUUUCGUGGGGGUUAACGUAGGGAAACUUACGCUCAUACCGCAUACGACCUACGGGUGAAAGCAGGGGAUCUUCGGACCUUGCGCGAUUGAAUGAGCCGAUGAGGGAUUAGUUAGUUGGCGGGGUAAAGACCCACCGUGGCGACGAUCCGUAGCUGGUCUGAGUGGAUGAUCGGCCGCACUAGAACUGAGACAGGGACCAGACUCCUGCGGGAGGCAGCAGUGGGGAAUAUUAGGCAAUGGUCGCAAGCCUGAUCCAGCCAUACCGAGUGUGUGAAAGAGACCUUCGGGUUGUAAAGCCCGUUUGUUGGGAGAGAAAAGCAGCAGGUUAAUACCCCGCGGUUCUGACGGUACCCAAUGAAGAAGCACCGGCUAACUUCGUG
rnacentral:rRNA from 1 species